GAUGGUCUGUAGCUCAGCGGUAGAGCAUCUGCUUUGCAUGCAGAAGGUUCAGUCCCUGGCAUCU